CCCUUCAAUUCCUCUCGAUUUAUAUAUAUAUAUAUAUAUAUAUAUAUAUAUAUAUAUAUAUAUACAUAUCCCAUGGCGUUUUGGGUUGGUAUUAAAGUGCCGAAAUGGUUUACGACACUGCUCGUCGUCGCCCACUGCUUGAAGAUCCUGUUGAUAGUUGCACUUUCCCAUCUAGAUCUGCUCAAACCUUCCCAAGAGAUGACUGAGUUGGACGAAUAUCGUCGUCGACAAACUAACAAUCAUUUUGUUGUGCUGGAUCGUCUGUGCCCAUCGGCAGUUCCCGUGCCGAUCCAUGUUCUAACAGAAUACAUCAAGAGGAAGUUUCCGGCAGUAGAGUUUGGUCAAGUUUUCGACAAAUGCACAAAGCCUGAAAGUCGGGAGACAGAAUGCAAUAUAUGCUUGGAGUGCAUAGAGAGGAGCCAUGAUGUGAGGGAACCGUGCAACUGUGAUCAUGUGUUUCACAGGCAGUGUCUGGAUAGUUGGGUCGAUCAGGGCCAGGUAACCUGCCCUUUGUGCAGAUCUCCAUUGUUACUUUCCGGCUAAGAGCGAAACAACGAGCUGCGGCGAAGGAAGUUCAGGAACGAUAGAGAGGGAUGGCGAGCACGAUUCGGUUUGGUGGAGCUUUGACUGAAACCGAAAAAAUGUUUUUAGGUUCAACUCGGUGCGAUUUUAAAGCUAAAACCGAAAUAGAAUCAAACUAUUUGGUUUUGAUUUGGUUCGAUUCCAAACCGUUUUAAUUCGGUUUCAAACUAUUUUGCAAACAAAAUGAAUUGUUUCAUGAAUUGCAGAUUCGCAGCCACCGGCUACUAUUCAAGAAUCAAAAUUGCAACUACUAAAACGUUAUUAGCAAGGGUCAAAUCCUGUCGAAAAAGGAAUUCUACCUUCGCAAAAAUAUUUUUUUCGAGGAUAAAAGUUGGUCAUUGGUUGUAAAAAAUUCUUCCAUACGACUUAUAUGAUGGUUGGAAAUACUUUUUGUACGAGGACCUUUCUUUUUUUUCGUUUUCCCCAUUCGAUUGCUGAUUUUCGUUGAAAAUUAGGGAUAACAAUUAUAACCGUUAAAUCCGAUAACCAUAGAUAAUUAUCCGAAUGAAUUGGAUUUGGAUAUUAAAAUUCGGGUAUGGUAUUGAUAUGGGGAAAAACCGUGAAUUUUUUUUGGUUAUGGUUUUGAAUAUGAUUAUAGGGGUCCCCAAUCCAUAUCCGUGUCCGAAUUCGACCCGAUUAUUACAUAUAUAUAUAUAUUUGAUAUAUAAUAUAAUUUUAUUCAAUUUACCGAACCCUCUCUAUACUAAUUCAUUAUGCAUGCAUCAAACCCUAUACUAUCUUUAUUAUGCACCAAACAUCAUGCAUGGGGCAUACCAAGUUACCAACAACCUCAUCCAUUCAAUACUCUUAUUGUUAUACUCAACUAAAUUAAUUCAUUUAAUCAUUUUAUAUAUCAAUUAUCAAAUGUUCCAAGUUUAUCAGAUUCAUAUCUAUUCAAGAGUUUCAUUGUCAAUAAAUUGGUGCAUGUUGUCAACUCAAUAGGUACUCUUUCAUUCUUUUUCAUGUUAUUUGAUUCAUGCAAAUUCUCAAUUAGCGUCAGUUUUCUAGUUUAUUACAUAUUUUAUGAGCCCAUAAAAUUAUGAAAAAUUAAAUCAAUAAUUGUCUUCUUUUUUGUUGUUAUAUAUUUAGUUUGCAUGUUAAUUGAUUCAGUUUCAGUAUUAUACCAUGUCUUCAUUUACAUAUUAAUGGAUUUGGUUGUGUUCGUAGCAAUCAAAAUGUCUAAAAGAAAAUUUAAGUCUCAAGAAGAAACAAUAUCUACCCCAACUAAUUGUAAUCUAGCACCUAUAUUGAAUCCAAGUGUUGUGCAACAAGAAAUACCAAAUCAAAUUGCUCGGCCCCAAGAUAUACCAACUCCUAAUGAGGUCGCUAGUGAGAUUGAGGAACCUGGAGGUGAUGAUGGUGAAGGUAAUAAUUCGAGACUUCGCAGUUUGGUGUGGCAACAUUACAUAAGAACAGUAGUUGAUGGGGUGAUGAAAGCAAUAUGUAAUUAUUGUAACAAGAAGCUUGAUGGGAACACUGGAAAUGGAACCAGCCAUUUGAGGCAUCAUGUGACGAUAUGUCCGCGUCGGAGACAAAAAAAAAUUGAAGCAAAUGCUAACCAAAAAGUGGGAAAUGGGAAAGUAGAGUUGUAUUCUUUCCUUGGUUGAGCGUGUUGGAUUUAGAAACUUCAUGAGUGUUGUCCAAGCAUUGUUUAAGUUUGUUUCAAGAAACACAAUCAAAAGUGAUAUCCUAAAAAUAUAUGAUUAUGAGCGUUCGAAAACAAUGCAAUUGUUGGAUGAAAAUAAAAGUAGAAUUGCUAUAACUACUGAUAUGUGGACCGCAAGUAAUGAGAACAAAGGAUUUAUGGUAAUAACGGCACAUUUUAUUGAUGACUCUUGGACGUUGCAAAGCCAAAUAAUAAGAUUUAUUUAUGUGCCUUGUCCGCAUACCGCCGAGACACUUUCAGAUGUUUUGAUGGAGUGCUUGCUAGAUUGGAACCUCGAUUGUAAGCUUUCUACCUUAACCGUAGAUAAUUGCACUACAAAUGAUAAAAUGAUUGAUCUUAUUCUUGAAAAACUUUAUAGUAGUUCACUUUUGUUGGGUGGAGGGUUCUUUCACAUGAAUUGUUGUGCGCAUAUAUUAAACUUGAUUGUGAAGGAUGGUCUGGAAGUGAUUGGUGGUGGUGUUGAGAAAAUUCGUGAUAGUGUUGUUUACUGGACAACAACACA